GAACGCAAUAUUGAGGACAGGGUAAACGACCAGGGCAUGUUACGAAGGCGAAAAGUAAUUGACGAAGCAAGAAUAUUAUUUUUUCGAUGCCAUGAUCCAACUGGCAAUCUUUCCAUGUGUAAUUUGGAAAAACAAUCCGUUUGAAUAAAGGGGAGCUUUAUUCAAUAAAUAAAGGGGAAUAAAUGGGAACAUUUUACGAA